rnacentral:rRNA from 1 species
UGGGGAAUUUUGCACAAUGGGGGAAACCCUGAUGCAGCGACGCCGCGUGAUCUAGAAGGCCUUCGGGUUGUAAAAAUCUUUUCUAUGGGAAGAAAAUGACAGUACCAUAGGAAUAAGGACCGGCUAAUUACGUGCCAGCAGCCGCGGUAAUACGUAAGGUCCGAGCGUUGUCCGGAAUCAUUGGGCGUAAAGGGUACGUAGGCGGGUAAGCAAGUUAGAAGUGAAAUCCUAUAGCUCAACUAUAGUAAGCUUUUAAAACUGCUCAUCUUGAGGUAUGGAAGGGAAAGUGGAAUUCCUAGUGUAGCGGUGAAAUGCGCAGAUAUUAGGAGGAAUACCGGUGGCGAAGGCGACUUUCUGGCCAUAACCUGACGCUGAGGUACGAAAGCGUGGGUAGCAAACAGG